CUUCGGUAUUAUUGAGAUUUUACGAGGAAUAUCGUACAAUUCAAGUUUUUAGGAGUUUCUUUAUUAACAUUUACAUUAAUUAUUAACACUAAAUUGUAUGAAUUUUUAAAAUUUUAAUUUUAAAACAAAUGAUAAAUUAAUAAAUUUUAUAAUUCGUAUUGUUUUUGUUUUUUAAUAAUUUCGAACAUACUAUAUUUCGAGUGUAUAAUCUUUCGAACUCUUGACGUUCGAACUUACAGCAUUCGAACAUAUAAUUUUCGAACACAAAACCCCGUUCUUGCCAAGUGCGUAGCACAAUGGUUUUUUCCGAAAAAAUCAUUGGUGCGAAAAAACCGAGCGAAUCGUAAAACCGGGUAAUCAGUAACAGAAUGCCGUGUUUAGUGAAGACGGCUGGGAUAUCGAGGGCCGGUUCACAGCUAAAAUAGUAAUUAACCGUGCCCUAAAGGAGACCAAGGACCUUAAUGUCCCCGCUGGUAUUUAUGGCGAAGGUCACCGAUUUCGUCACCCAAAAUCCACAUGGAACGGUUUGCAACAUGGCGUCAGUAUUACUCACUCAUUUCCGUAACUCGAGUCUGGCGCUGGCGAGAGCACAGUUAAGCUUAGCUUGUGCAGCAAGUGCCUCGUUUACGGUAUCGGCUCAGAAACAAUUGUCAUCAAAGUGUGUCUGAUGACGAAGGGUAUGCUGAGCGUGUGACUGAUUCACUCAGUCAACAUCCGCAAUCUCCUGCAUAACUCGUAAUGCCAGGAAUGGCACACAGUUGAUUCCGUACGUUACGGUGUUAAGCUCCAGUUAUAGGGGCGGUCAACUUGGACCAACGAAGCCCAAUUGCUUUGCGGAGACAAUCGUAAUGCGCUGACGUGGAGUUGAUUAAUGUACACGCAGGCUGGAAUCUUCCAGCUCGGUCUCGUACGUGGACUAAUGCCGUACCUAGCAAAACCAAUAGUGAACCGUACCCAGACAAAGGCGAUGUCGACGUGGCUGGAGGUGUCGAAUUUGAGGACGGGACGAUGUCAUAGACCUGGGUGUAGUAGUUUGUGGCGUAAGUGUGAACUCACUGAGCAUUUCUUAUGUUCUUUGCAACGAUUGGCCCAAUUGCUGUCACUAAAGCAGGGAAAACAUAUUUGUUGAGUGCGUGGCCACUUGGUAUAUUCUCCGAUCGUCAAUACACUUAAUUUCCGAUACACAUCAAGAGCGUAUAGAUUUUUACAAUAUUUGCUCACUGUAGAUGUGGCCUAGUACUAGCAAAACCAAUAGUGAACCGUACUCAGACAAAGGCGAUGUCGACGUGGCUGGAGGUGUCGAAUAAGAAGAACGGGACGAUGUCAUAGAUCUGGGUGUAGUAGUUUGUGGUGUAAGUGUGAACUGAUUGAGCAUUUCUUAGGUUCUUUGCAACGAUUGGCCCAAUUGCUGUCACUAAAGCAGGGAAAACAUAAUUGUUGAGUGCGUGGCCACUUGGUAUAUUCUC